GAAAGAUGGUUUUGCUAUCACUUAUAGAUGGACCCGCGCCGUAUUAGCUAGUUGGUAAGGUAACGGCUUACCAAGGCGACGAUACGUAGCCGACCUGAGAGGGUGAUCGGCCACACUGGAACUGAGACACGGUCCAGACUCCUACGGGAGGCAGCAGUAGGGAAUCUUCCGCAAUGGGCGAAGGCCUGACGGAGCAACGCCGCGUGAGUGAUGAAGGGUUUCGGCUCGUAAAACUCUGUUAUUAGGGAAGAACAAAUGUGUAAGUAACUGUGCACGUCUUGACGGUACCUAAUCAGAAAGCCACGGCUAACUACGUGCCAGCAGCCGCGGUAAUACGUAGGUGGCAAGCGUUAUCCGGAAUUAUUGGGCGUAAAGCGCGCGUAGGCGGUUUCUUAAGUCUGAUGUGAAAGCCCACGGCUCAACCGUGGAGGGUCAUUGGAAACUGGGAAACUUGAGUGCAGAAGAGGAAAGUGGAAUUCCAUGUGUAGCGGUGAAAUGCGCAGAGAUAUGGAGGAACACCAGUGGCGAAGGCGACUUUCUGGUCUGUAACUGACGCUGAUGUGCGAAAGCGUGGGGAUCAAACAGGAUUAGAUACCCUGGUAGUCCACGCCGUAAACGAUGAGUGCUAAGUGUUAGGGGGUUUCCGCCCCUUA
rnacentral:rRNA from 1 species